rnacentral:rRNA from 1 species
AGCAGCCGCGGUAAUUCCAGCUCCAAUAGCGUAUAUUAAAGUUGCUGCAGUUAAAAAGCUCGUAGUUGAAUUUCGGGACCAUCAUGUCGGUCGUGCCUCGGUACGUACUGGCAUUGUUGGUUUCUACCUUCUGACGAACCAUGAUGUCAUUUAUUUGGUGUCGUGGGAAAUCAGGACUGUUACUUUGAAAAAUUAGAGUGUUUAAAGCAGGCUCACGCUUGAAUACAUUAGCAUGGAAUAAUGAAAUAGGACGUUUGAUUCUAUUUUGUUGGUUUCUAGGAUCGACGUAAUGAUUAAUAGGGAUAGUUGGGGGCAUUAGUAUUCAAUUGUCAGAGGUGAAAUUCUUGGAUUUAUUGAAGACUAACUACUGCGAAAGCAUUUGCCAAGGAUGUUUUCAUUAAUCAAGAACGAAAGUUAGGGGAUCGAAGACGAUCAGAUACCGUCGUAGUCUUAACCAUAAACUAUGCCGACUAGGGACCGGAUGAUGUUAAUUUUUAAUGA